CUGUAAUGAAAACAAUAGUGGUAUUUUUUUAAGCAAGAAUGACAACAUGAACGGAUUAAAUCACAAUAAUACUAAUAGCGAUAGUAAUAAUAAUAAUAAUCAAAACAAUUGUAAUAAUACUACUACUAAUACCAGUAGCAAUAAUAAUGCCGCUACAACUACUGCCAGUGGUAGUAAUAAUAGUAUAAUAAAUAAUUAUAAUACAGGAGCCUGCUCUUCUUCUUCUUCCUCUUCCUCCAAUGGGUUAAAUUUACAAAUUUUAAAUUCUAUGAUAUACUCCACUUAUAAACGUUUAAAUGAUGUUGAUGAAUAUUUUGAACUGCUCGAUAAAUGCCUAACAAGGGAAAAUGUAAUAGAUAUUAAUUUGAGUGAUAUUUUCGAAAUAAACAUUAUAAACAUGAUUAAAGUUUUACUUUAUAAUUAUUUAUAUAGUAAUGAUGAAAUUAUAAUAGAAUCAUUAACUUUGUUAAUUAUUAUUUUUGGUUGUUGUGGUUCAACUGAAAAAAUAAAACAAGAUGUAUUAGAUGAUUUAUAUACAUGUGUUGUUUAUUUAUUGAAUAAUGCAUGCGAAAAAUCAUGUCCAAAAAAUUGUCAAAAGCCACUCAAUCCAUUAAUACCACAACUAAUUAUAGCAUUAUUAAGAACAAUAUUAACAUAUGAUAUAUAUAAGUUAAAAAAUGAUUUAAUCGACCGUAAGGGUAUAGUAGAUGCAUUAUUAGAAGCGAUUGAAAAUACUCCUAAUUUAAACGGAGUAAGAGUUUGUUAUACUAUAGUAGUGUAUGGUUUAAAAAUGUUUUAUAUUUCGACAUCUCAAAUGUAUGAAAAGUCUUUUUUAAAAGAACUUGAAACCAUUACAAAUUAUUUAUCUAUGUGCAUAAAAAUGAGCGAUGAAAAAAUAUUAUUUUUAACAAGUUCCACAUGUAUAACUAUUUGCGAAAACCAAGUAGGUAUUGAGUUUUUGCUUAAAACAGAUAUAUUACAUAACGCUGUCAUUUUAUGUGAAUCUUCGACUGCAGACUUAGCCUUCGAAGCUUUAUCAAUUAUAUCAAAAAUAGCUUAUGCUGCUAACCACCAACAAAUUUGUUUGUUAAUAAAUUGUAACGUUAUAAAAGCUUUAAAAAAAAUAUUAAAUAAUUUAAAAAUAAAACCUGGUGCUAGAGCAAGAGCAUGCAAUGCUCUAGGUAACAUUGGUUGUGAAACAGCAUCCGAAGUAGAAUUAUUAAUAAAAGAUGAUGUAUUCCCUUUAUUAGUUGAUAUCUUUGAAACAGAUAAUGAUUUUAAUACAAAAAUAGAAGCAGCUUAUGCAGUUUGUGCUUGUUUAUCCAAAGCUAAUCAAAAGCAAGUUGGAUAUAUUAUUUCAUGUACAGCAACUACCAACAAAUUAGGAGAAAAUAUUUGUAUGCAACUGAUAGCAGAUAUGUUAGAGUUAGUUAGUGAAUCUGACCCUAUGAAUAGUGGUAGUGUUAAAUUAUGUAAAAGUAUUUUAAGGGGUCUAGAAAAUAUAUUAGACAAAGGAGAUGAUGAAACAAGAGAUUUGUCAUUGUGGGAAAAUCCUUAUGUAUUUAUGUUUAAAGAAGUGCAAGGUGACAUUAAGUUGUUACAAAUGCAAUUUUUUCCAGAGUACUACGUUGUUAAUAAGACUUAUGACAUACUGGCUAAGUAUUUUUCAUUGACUUCUACUUGGAACAAUAGGAAAUGAAGCGGUUAUGUUCGUGUGUUUACGCUUGU
ensembl:lncRNA